ACGGCUAUAUCACGUUGAGGCAACGGUUCUCGUACAAUUAGCGGAGUUAAGCAACGUAGAGCCUGAUUAGUACCUAGAUGGGUGACCUCUUGUAAAUACCAGGUGCUGUAA